rnacentral:piRNA from 1 species
UNCCAGGAUGGAGACAGAGGUGCAGGGGA